UAGAGUUGACUUUACAGUGAGAGCACGUAUUUCUAGGAGCCGGGGGUCAGGGUAUUUAAUUUAAUGUUUUUAUUGAGCAGUUUAGUAAUUGAAUAUUCAUGGUUAAACAGGCAUCAGAGGCCAAACUGAACCACAGGAGGGACCUUCAAGAGGUCCAGCUAGCUCGGACCAGCAGCAGUCGAGUGUGCAGGAAUCCACCACCAGGCCAUCUCCUAGCUCCCACGCUAUUUCCAAGCUGUAGGAUUUCUUGUAACCUACUUAAAUUCUUGUAAACAAUUAGUAACUGCUCUGAUAUCUGGUUGAAAUAGAUAACCAGAACUGGUGAAUAUUUAGUUACCCUUUUCUGGCAGUUGGUGUGGAUUUAUCAGUUUGUUUGACAGGUGGAAAAAUUUGGGUUUAGUCAAAUUACAGGGGAGUCUCUGCCGAAAUUAAAGCAGGAGUCCAGAGAAAGUUUUAACCAUAUUUAUAUCCAGGAAGGGUAAAGAGGUCAUUGUGCCCGACAAUUGCCAGGUGUCGGACACGCACAGGGCUUGGCUCGAAUUCCAAAGCGGAAAUUGGGUCGGGUCCUGUCAAUUUGGUAUCAGAGCAUAGGUUUUACUUCCUGUAGACUUCGCACUAUGUGCAUCCUCGUUCUCUUUUCGAGUUGGGCCCUAAUGGUGGUGGUAUCCGUAAGACAAUUGGACAGAUAUCUCGAUGUAAGGAAAUGAGAUUUCUAAGUUGAACAGAAACUGCACCGGUAUUUGAACCGGUAGAGUAAUUUUUUGUUAAGAGGCUCGUCAAGAGCCGUACCUACUGUACCAAGUAGGCAGGAAGAUCCAAAUGUCCAGUAGACCUUGGGAGUUGAUAACUCAGGGUUUAGUCAGCCAGAGAUCCAUCCGUGAGAUAGGUGGAUCCAGUAAAAAGGAUUGAAGGCUAUAAAUUGGGAUAAUGGUGGUACCUAGUAGUAAAAAGAGGAUUAAAUUGAAGGAAUAGAGCAGGACAUGGAGGUCCUAGUUGCUCUACAGAAGAGUAAAGUAUUGGUGGGAUUUAGUUAAGAAGAGAUACCAGGAUCCUUUGAUUAAUACGUAACAAGUAUUUUAGAGCCGAAUUUAAUAGCUAGUCUUAUCUGUAAGUUUACAGAAGGUGAGGAUACAAGAGGUUUUGCAGCAGAAUAGAGAAUAAUAAUUGGAUCCGAGUAUAAAAAAAAAAAAAAAAAAAAAAAGGGG